rnacentral:tRNA from 1 species
GGCCUCAUAGCUCAAGUGGUUAGAGCGUUGGCUAUGCUAAAGCCUUCCGCUUGCUGCGUGGGUUCGGUUCCCACCGAUGUCA